rnacentral:rRNA from 1 species
AGAGUGAACGCUGGCGGCAGGCCUAACACAUGCAAGUCGAACGGCAGCACAGGGGAGCUUGCUCCCCGGGUGGCGAGUGGCGGACGGGUGAGGAAUACAUCGGAAUCUGCCUUAUCGUGGGGGAUAACGUAGGGAAACUUACGCUAAUACCGCAUACGACCUACGGGUGAAAGCGGAGGACCUUCGGGCUUCGCGCGAUAAGAUGAGCCGAUGUCGGAUUAGCUAGUUGGCGGGGUAAAGGCCCACCAAGGCGACGAUCCGUAGCUGGUCUGAGAGGAUGAUCAGCCACACUGGAACUGAGUACACGGUCCAGACU